UGUUCUUAGGAUCUGUGAGACUCCUCUGUGGCUUGAUAGUAUGUCCUCUUUUCCUCUCUUUUUCUUUUGUUCCUCUGAAGGUAACUUGCAUUGGUUUCUAUUACUCACAGGCAGUGACAUUAAUCCUAGGAGCCCAUCAGAGUCUUUACAUAGCUCUGUGACGGGAAAACAAAUGGAGCAUAUCCCAGGCCUAGGAAUUGUCUGUCUUGGAAGGAAAAGUAACAAAACUGUGUGCCAGAAUGUGAGAGAGAAUGCUGGACAUUUGUUGUUUUUCCCAUCAACAUCUUCUCCUUGCCCCAUGGGGUAUCAUUGCUCCACAAUUCUCCAGGGAUGCAUUGUGGGUAAAACUGACUCCAUGUUUAAGCCAAUCAGCACGUUCCAUACAUCUGCCAGAGUGACUGACUUCCUAAUGGUCAGAUGAUAUGAAUCCUGCCCAUGACAGCUAAGAAGUUUCAGUUCUCAUGCUUUUGUUGGAACUGUCAGUGAAACAUAUUCUCCUUUCCUGUUGGUAUGAAUGUGAAAGGAUCACGGGACUGGAAUUAUGGAAGAUAGUUUGUCAACACAUGAGUCCUGUGCAUGAACUGAACACCAGGAAAGCAUAGUUGAGAAAUUUAGACAGGAGCUCCAGCCCAGGGAAGUCAUUUGAGCCCUGGAUCAAGCUGUACCUGAAACUGGAGCUCCCUCUGGAUUCUUUAGUUUUGUGAGUUAAUAAAUUCUUUUUUCUUUUCUUAAUCUGAUUUGAGUUAGAGUUUUGUCACUUGCAGCAGAAGGAAUCAUAACUAAUACAGUUAUGGGAAGUUAUGUUUGAGGAAAGGUGUCAGGUAAUCUAUAAGAUGGAGAGGCUGAACUAUAAACAGAGCAGGUCCUAAAACUCCAGUAGGCACGCUUUCUCCUUUUCUUGAAAUCAUAAAACACUACAAUUGACAUGGCAUAUAUCACACAUUGCCUUGAACUGCAAUUACAGUUCUUGUAUGGUAGGUACAAAUUUCACAACCAUAAAACUCCGGUGUGCAGAAAUGUAACUUUCUUUAUUGUUUUAUAAUUGAGCUUAAUUUAGCUCACAAACCCUCAUUUCUGCUAAUGGUAGGGAACUUAAUCUUGCCAAUUCCAGGCAAUUCUGUCAGUCCUGGUUUAAAGCUCUGUAUCUUUCAAUUACUUUAGGAUUCCAAGUUCCUCUACUCCUUUCUUUUUCCCUAAGGUGAUCUGUGUUCUAGCAAACAUGGCAAGGAGGCAAAUGUCUGGUCUGGGAGUUGACCUCGGGCCAGUGGGCAACAGGCUGUAAUUGGUCCAGGAGAGCUGGGCACUCAUCCUUGUUGGCUCUGUCCCCACCCAGUUCUUAGCUCAGCUUCUGCAGAUUCAGCCAUGACUUUGUCUAGUUCCUAGUUUGGGCUGCCCACAUAGUCCCUGGCCUUACAUCAUGGUCACCUCCCUACCAGGCACACCAGCCCUCAAUUCUCAGCUCCCUUUGGCAUUCGAAUCCAACGUUUGGGGACUUCUGGGUUUCCACAUCCUGCAGGAGUGAGGGUGUUGGGAGGAUGGGUCCUCUCGGCAUCCUGUCUGCCUGAAUCAUCUCUGCUCCCAUUUCUGCAUUAUAGGAACCAACUGUGAUGGUUAAUUUUAUGUGGCAACUUGAUUGGGCCAAGGGACGUCCAGAUAUCUCACCAAACAUUCUUUCUCCACAGUCUGUGAGGGUGUUUCCGGAAGAGAUUAGCAUCUGAAUUGGUGGACUGAGUCAAGCAGAUGGCCCUCUCCAAUGUGGGUGCAGGCCACCCAAUCUGUUGCAGGCCUGAGUAGAAUAAAAAGGUAGAGGAAGGGAGGGUUCUUUCUCUGUGUCUUCUUCUGACUGCUUGAACUGGGACUUUGAUCUUCCAUCCUCAGCACUCGUGGUUCUCAGCCUUCAGACUUGAAAUGGAAAUCACAGCACCAGCUCUGCGCUUCUCAGGCCUUGACCUAUACCAUUGACUCCUGGGUCUCUACCUGUCUGGAUUUUAUAAAUGAAAAUCAUGGUCUUUAAGACCAUGCCUCCAAGACCAAUUAAGACCAUGUCUCAAUUGCCAGAAAUUCACUCCAAAGGUCCAAGUUCCAGAGUUUAAAUACAUGUACUGGCUUCCUCAUUGGGUCAGCUCUUCCCUGCUGCCACAGGCCUCAGACUUGCGGUUUUGCUUUAGUGGAGGAAGCACUGCAGGGCAGAGACAAGGAAAAGAGUUCCAGAGAAGGAAAGCCACUUGGUACUAUUUCACAACAGGAUCUGGCUCAGUGAGCCACAGCUACUCCUCCAACCACAGAAGCGCCUCCAGUCUUGCUCCCCAUGUGGGAUGGCCAUUGCUGUGGGGUUUGCAGGUUGCUUGACACCUUUGUGGAGCCAAACUCCACCAGCGCUACUGAGAAGUGCAGCUAGUAGAAGGAACUGUCCCUUCCAGCUUAACUAUCCUUUUUUUAAGGCCAGUUGGCCCCAGGUGGUCAUUGUUCUUUUAGCCUCUGAAAGUUGGCCUCAGUGUUUUAUUUCAGUAGCUUCUUGUCAAUAAACCAACACUGAGUUCCCUGCAGUGUUGGCCUAGGCUGUGGUGGCCCCUGUGGGACUCCUAACUCAUCCUCAGUGCUGUGAGUUGAAUGGUCUGCCAUAAAGAUGUGUUGAAAUUCUAGCCCCUGGUGGCAGUGAAUGUGACCUUGUUUGGAAACGGUCUUUGCAGAUGUGAUUAGUUAAGGAUCAAGAUGAGAUCUUGCUGGAUUAGGGUGUUGCCUGAACUUAAUGACUGGUGUCCUUAUAAAAAAAGGAGAGGACACACAGAGACCCAGACUCACAGGGAGAAAGCCACACAAUGAUGGAGGCAGAGCUGGCAGUGAGGCAUCUACCGGCCAAGGGACACCAGGGACUGCUGGGAGCUGCCAGGAGCUGGAAGAAGCAGGGAGGAUCCUUCCCUGGGGACUUUGGAGGAGUGUGGCUCUGCUGACACUUUGA
rnacentral:lncRNA from 10 species